GGCAGUCGUGGCCUAAUGGUCAGAGCGGCAGACUUGUAAUCCAAAGGUGAACCUGAAGGUUGUGGGUUCGAGUCUCAGGUCUGGCA